UACGUAGGGUGCGAGCGUUGUCCGGAAUUAUUGGGCGUAAAGAGCUUGUAGGCGGUUUGUCGCGUCUGCCGUGAAAGUCCGGGGCUCAACUCCGGAUCUGCGGUGGGUACGGGCAGACUAGAGUGAUGUAGGGGAGACUGGAAUUCCUGGUGUAGCGGUAGAAAUGCGCAGAUAUCAGGGAGGAACACCGAUGGCGAAGGCAGGUCUCUGGGCAUUAACUGACGCUGAGGAGCGAAAGCAUGGGGAGCGAACAGG
rnacentral:rRNA from 1 species